GAACUGAUGUCUCUCCAAUGUCAUAACGACUCUCGGCAACGGAUAUCUCGGCUCUCGCAUCGAUGAAGAACGUAGCGAAAUGCGAUACUUGGUGUGAAUUGCAGAAUCCCGUGAACCAUCGAGUCUUUGAACGCAAGUUGCGCCCGAAGCCAUUCGGCCGAGGGCACGUCUGCCUGGGCGUCACGCAUCGCGUCG
rnacentral:rRNA from 1 species